rnacentral:rRNA from 1 species
ACCUGCCCGUAAGACUGGGAUAACAUUCGGAAACGAAUGCUAAUACCGGAUACACAACUUGGUCGCAUGAUCGGAGUUGGGAAAGACGGAGUAAUCUGUCACUUACGGAUGGACCUGCGGCGCAUUAGCUAGUUGGUGAGGUAACGGCUCACCAAGGCGACGAUGCGUAGCCGACCUGAGAGGGUGAUCGGCCACACUGGGACUGAGACACGGCCCAGACUCCUACGGGAGGCAGCAGUAGGGAAUCUUCCGCAAUGGACGAAAGUCUGACGGAGCAACGCCGCGUGAGUGAUGAAGGUUUUCGGAUCGUAAAGCUCUGUUGCCAGGGAAGAACGCUAAGGAGAGUAACUGCUCCUUAGGUGACGGUACCUGAGAAGAAAGCCCCGGCUAACUACGUGCCAGCAGCCGCGGUAAUACGUAGGGGGCAAGCGUUGUCCGGAAUUAUUGGGCGUAAAGCGCGCGCAGGCGGCCUUGUAAGUCUGUUGUUUCAGGCACAAGCUCAACUUGUGUUCGCAAUGGAAACUGCAAAGCUUGAGUGCAGAAGAGGAAAGUGGAAUUCCACGUGUAGCGGUGAAAUGCGUAGAGAUGUGGAGGAACACCAGUGGCGAAGGCGACUUUC